rnacentral:rRNA from 1 species
GACGUAGGGCGCGAGCGUUGUCCGGAUUUAUUGGGCGUAAAGAGCUCGUAGGCGGCUUGUCGCGUCGUUCGUGAAAACCCACAGCUCAACUGUGGGCUUGCGGUCGAUACGGGCAGGCUGGAGUUCGGUAGGGGAGACUGGAAUUCCUGGUGUAGCGGUGAAAUGCGCAGAUAUCAGGAGGAACACCGGUGGCGAAGGCGGGUCUCUGGGCCGAUAUUGACGCUGAGGAGCGAAAGCGUGGGGAGCGAACAGG